UGUCACAUUUCCUUCUCAAUGGUACAGAUACAGGCGGAAGUACACAACUGUUGUUGUUGAAAUUAGAAAAGUUAACUAGAUUUGUAUCAGAUUUUGUUUGUGUGUGGUGUGGAAAUGA